GAGAAGAGAUUCCCUGCCGCGAAUACCCAAUCACUGGGGGAAAACGACAUCGUACCACCAUCUUCACAUCCUAUCGGAUUUCUAAACCCAUCACAGCCGACUGACAUCCCCUGCAUCUACAUGGACGGCAGUGACAUAUCCUAAAGGAUCUUCUGGGUGAUGGAACAUUCACAGUUGACCAGGUCAAAUUCAAGAACAGAGAAAAGUCUCAAGGUGUCAAUUUUUCAGGGGAAGUAUCUUGAGUAAAGUGCAGUAAAACUCGCCCAUAUAAUUACUGAAUCAGCUAAUAACAGACAAAUUGUCGAUGACAUAAGUGAUUUAUUCAUGAAAAUCAGUUGGAUUCAAUAUUCAAAGUGAAGGUCUUAAGAAAUUGUCAAAUAUCGGACCAGAGGCUAAGUUAAAGGAAAGGGUCAAAGUGCUUGAUGAUGGACAAGAUCAUUACUGGU